GACGAACGCGGGCGGCGUGCCUAAUACAUGCAAGUCGAACGCUUUUUCUUUCACCGGAGCUUGCUCCACCGAAAGAAGAGGAGUGGCGAACGGGUGAGUAACACGUGGGUAACCUGCCCAUCAGAAGGGGAUAACACUUGGAAACAGGUGCUAAUACCGUAUAACAGUAGAAACCGCAUGGUUUCUAUUUGAAAGGCGCUUUUGCGUCACUGAUGGAUGGACCCGCGGUGCAUUAGCUAGUUGGUGAGGUAACGGCUCACCAAGGCAACGAUGCAUAGCCGACCUGAGAGGGUGAUCGGCCACAUUGGGACUGAGACACGGCCCAAACUCCUACGGGAGGCAGCAGUAGGGAAUCUUCGGCAAUGGACGAAAGUCUGACCGAGCAACGCCGCGUGAGUGAAGAAGGUUUUCGGAUCGUAAAACUCUGUUGUUAGAGAAGAACAAGGAUGAGAGUAAAACGUUCAUCCCUUGACGGUAUCUAACCAGAAAGCCACGGCUAACUACGUGCCAGCAGCCGCGGUAAUACGUAGGUGGCAAGCGUUGUCCGGAUUUAUUGGGCGUAAAGCGAGCGCAGGCGGUUUCUUAAGUCUGAUGUGAAAGCCCCCGGCUCAACCGGGGAGGGUCAUUGGAAACUGGGAAACUUGAGUGCAGAAGAGGAGAGUGGAAUUCCAUGUGUAGCGGUGAAAUGCGUAGAUAUAUGGAGGAACACCAGUGGCGAAGGCGGCUCUCUGGUCUGUAACUGACGCUGAGGCUCGAAAGCGUGGGGAGCAAACAGGAU
rnacentral:rRNA from 1 species